GACGAACGCUGGCGGCGCGCUUAACACAUGCAAGUCGAGCGAUGAAACUUUAACAGAACCCUUCGGGGCGAAGAUAAAGUGGAUUAGCGGCGGACGGGUGAGUAACACUUGAGUAACCUGCCUUAGACAUUGGGAUAGCCUCGGGAAACCGGGAUUAAUACCAAAUAAAAUCAUAAUGACACAUGUCAUAACGAGCAAAACGGCGGUGGUCUAAGAUGGACUCGCGUCCCAUUAUCUAUUUGGUAGAGUAAAAGCAUGCCAAGGCGACGAUGGGUAGCCGGCAGGGGAGGGUGAACGGCUGGAGUGGAAAUGAGACCCGGUCCAAGCCGCGACGGGAGGGAGGGGUAGGGAAUAUUGCGGAAUGAAGCGAACUGUAAUGACGCGGCGCCGGGGGAAAGAACCAGCGUGUCGAGAAGUAAAGUCCUCUGAGAUGGGAAGAUAAUGACGGUACCAGAAAAAAAAGCCCCGGCUAACUACGUG
rnacentral:rRNA from 1 species